GCAAUCGGACAAACGUAAGGAGGAUAAACCUGAGGGAAGCCCCGGGAGGCGACGCAGAUUAGGGCACUCAAGGCGAAGCGACUUGAGAUGAGGAGGGAGGGUGUCCAUACUUAGGUCCAGAGACUCCAUCGAGCAAAGUGAC